rnacentral:lncRNA from 1 species
CGGAUAUUGCUUCGGCAAAUAGACUAAGAUAUCGAUUACUUUGCGUGUGUCGGGUCCACGGUCACAGUAGUCGCCUAGGAAGAUGAUGGUGGCGGUGUUGAAGGAUUCUGGGUCGAUCUUGGAUUGGAGGUUGGACCAGAGAUUGACAAGUUUGGUGAUGUGGCCAUGGAUGUCUCCUAUGCAGAUUACGGUUCUUGGUUUAUAGGCGGGAUCCGUCAUUUUUGGGGUUCGGUCGGGAGUUUGGGAAAUUAUCUUCGGGAGAAGCGGUCAGCUUACACACGCCACAACUUCAGCUGCGUAGAAACUAAAAUGCACGUGUAAAUAUAUUUAUUACUAUUUAGUAUUUUGUUUGAAUAAAUAAAGCUUUACCCACUGUUUAUUUUCCUCAACAAGAGUUAAGUUUGGAUUCCAUAUUGUUAUCUAUUAUGACUAGUAACUGAUAAUUAAAAAAAGUUUAAUCUUAACUUCCAAAGUCUAGAAAUUAAGGUCACUAUCAUUCUACAGAAUUAAUACUUAUAAUUUAUUGCUUUCAAUAAUUUGAUUAUUCAUUAUCAGAAUUUUUUUAAUUUUAAGUUAGUAAUGUAUCAAUUAUAAAUUAAAAAAAUUAUGAUAAUUACUUGGUUUAGCUAUCUAAACGGAGAAAUUGCUAAUUCCUUUGUUUUUGUUUCUAAUUUUUUCUGUAAGUUGUAGCCUAAAAUGAGUGAAGCACUAAACAUUUUGAACCUUUUCAGCUUGUAAAAAUCUAGCAAUAAUACAGCCAGGUUGAGUCAUCUAGCAGAAGAAGAAUAUAUGGUAGAGCAAAAGGAUUCCCAAAUGCGACUUGAAAUGGUUUCCAAGUUCCAACGAGUAAAACUGUAAAACCUCUAAUGGAUGCUUUUUACUUGGAAUCAGCAUCUAGCGGCGUUGCAUUGAAGCAACUGAAUUAUGGCAUCGAAACUUUGUCCCCUGCCUUAACUUUUGUUUCAGUCUAUGGAGUUUGACUUAGUCUCCUUAACAUUUUUAUCUUUACCUUGUGCCCAAUAAUGUGAUGGGAAUUUUGUUGGACUGGUGUUAUACUCUUGGUGUUUGUUCUCCCGCAUUCAGUGAUCGAAAAGAGAGAAAAACAAAUAUCAUGUGUGAUAAAUUGCAGGAGAUACAUCCAUUAAUGGUAGUGAAGGAUGGAGUAAUAAAUUCUUUGCUAGGUUAAGGUAAACAGAUGGAAUGAACAGAAUUUUGCAUGGUCUCAGCGGUUCUCAGCGGUACUGCUAAGGUAUAGCGCCAAAAACUGAGAGCAACAAAGACAAUGUUAGAUGAAGUCACUCAUUGCUCAAAUCUUCCAAGAAAAAAAAAUAAAAAGAAUGCUAUUAUCCCUUUUGUUUUCCCCAUCCAUCAACUAUACGUACAGUUUGGUUUUUCUAACAUACAGGUAUACUCCUAAAACUAACAUGAAACCUGGUUGUCUCCUUUGGAAGUUGAGGAACUUAAUACCAUAAGCAAAUAUUGAGAAGAAGAGGAGACACCAGCCAAUAUGAGCCGCGGCAACAGUUGGAAGGAAGUCAUAUUCAAAGCCCAAGUGGUCUUUAAUCUCAAGAAGAUCAAUCAUGUCGCCCACUUGACAAGUCACAACCACAAUUUCAAUUUUGACUAAGUGGACAAUUUAUUUAAUCCAUUAUUUUAUAAAAAAGUUAUAAGGCAUGAAAAGUUAUUGACAUGUUCCCAUUAAAAAUGUGAAAGUAAUUUGCCUAUAAAUACUAAAAUUUUGAAAAAAUAUUUACUUUUUAACAUAUCAUCGUAAAGAUAAAUUUGUAAUAGAAUGAUUUUAAAAAUUAUUUUCUCGAAGAUAAAAUUUUUUUAUUCACUUCACGAGUGAUCUAAUUACCAUAUAAUUAUCAAACACGAAAUCAUUUUGAAUUUUAAUAAAACCAUUUCUUACCUAAUAUCACCUAGUAAUUUUUUUUUUUAUAAAUUUAACUAUAUUUAACAAGAUUUUAGAUUUAAAGAAAAAAGUAUUAUCAAAAGAAUUCACAUGAUAUAGUGAUAAAUAUAAUGCUUCCAUAUAAGCUAUUAAUUAAAUAUGAGAAAUAUUGUUACAACAUAAACAGUAAUAACUUUUUUUUGUAAUUUUCAUAAUAUAAGCUCAUAAAGUAAUGUUACGUGAAAGAAAAAAAAUACCUCUAAUGUGUUCAAGGUAACAUUAAGUAGAGUAGGAAUUAAGAGCUCUGCUCCCAACAUAAACAUCUCCUUCAACUACCAAAUGCUCAGACCGAACUUCAAUCGUUGGAAUCUCAAUCCCCACUCUACACCAAUCAUAACCCCAUUAAUCAAAUCUAAUCUAAAAAUGGAAACAAAAACAACCCACAAAGUUCUUUUUUUUUGUCGUUGGAACCUACCUGUCUGUUUUGUGCCUUAAUCUCCUCAAAAAGUUUUCAUUAUCUUCUUCAGCAACCUUCAACAAACUAUCCAUCAACUGCUUCUUAUCUUGCAUCCCAAGCUUAAUAACAUCAACAUCAACAUGAACAACCCUCCCACUAUCAAGAACUUGUCUUAAAUUAAAAUCCCAUUCCUCGACCGAUCAUACGUUGGUAACCUUUCGAUAACAGCCCAACGUAGGUCGUCCUCAUCAUCUUGACGUCCACUCCUGUUAAAACCUUAGGGUGCAGAUUGCCUGACCCCCUUUAAGCCCGCCGAGGCCAUCGACCUUGCUACCUUAACUACAGCUAAAGUUGACGCCAAGAAGCAAGUAUUAAUAUUAUUCUUGUUAUGGGCUACAACUUUACAUUACUAUAAACAAAAAUGCUCUCGGCUAUAAUCUGAAUGUUUUUAGCAAAACUUUGAAAGUUUGGGUUCAUUUGGUAGUGUGGGAAGCCAAAUAUAUAUUUAUAAAUAGGGUAAGGCCGGUUCCUAGUGUUUGAAUAACACUAGGUAACUACAAUGGUGAUGUUAGAUCCUAUUUUUGUGUAUAAAAUUUAUUCUUUUUUUCUUUCAAAAAGUUAUUGUUUUAGAUUAAAAUGUUAUGAAAUAAAUCUUAAAAGAACAAAUAAAGAUAAUUGGAAAGAAUAAUUAAGAGAAAAAAGAAAGUGUUUAGGGGGAGAAAAGAGAUCUUAUUGAAUUGUAUAUUUACAAAUGAAGUGAAGGGGUCUAUUUACAAGCUAACAACCCCUUGAAUCAUAGUCCUAAUCUAAUUCUAUCUAAGAGUUCAAAUCAUAUUACAUUUUUUGUAUCUUGCCUUUUAGGCUGUUUGACUUGGUCUGCACUUCUUGAGUCAUAAUAUAACGGACAUUCACAUAUUUAUUCAUAACACUCCCCUUUGAAUGUCCAUUGUAUUAAGAAUAUGUAUCGUUAAAACCUUAUAAAGAAAAAUCUCAUGAGAAAAAAUUUGAGUGAAGGAAAAAGAGUACAUAAUUCUUUUCAAGAAUACGCUUUUAAAUUACUAUCUCAUUAAAAACCUUAUUAAGAAAAACCCAGUGAAAAAAACCUUGAUGAAGGAAAAGAGUACAGUGCGUAUUUUACUCUCUCGGAUGACUACAUUAUAGAGAUCUUUAAAAUGAUGCAUUCCAACUUUUCAAAUGUCGCAAUAAGAAGGGCUUUGGUGAACAAAUCUACUAGAUUGUCACUUGACUGAAUUUGUUGAACACUAAUUUCACAAUUUUCUUGGAGAUCAUGAGUGAAGAAGAAUUUUUGACGAAAUAUGUUUUGUUCGAUCGCCUUUAAUGUAUCCUUCCUUUAACUAUGCUAUGCAAGUAGUAUUAUCCUCAUAGAACGUUGUUGGAAUUUUCUUUUUGGUUGACAUGCUACACAUUUCUUGAAUAUGUUAAGUUACAGAUCUUAACCAGACACAUUCAUGACUUGCUCAUUAAUUGCUAAAAUUUCUGCAUGGCUAGAAGAAGUAGCAACUUAGUUUGCUUUAUAAAAUGUCAUAAAAUAACCGUACCUCCAUAUGUGAAUAAAAACCCUGUCUGGGAUCGAGCUUUAUGUGGAUCUGAUAAAUAUCCUGCAUUUGCAUAACCAAUUAAAUUUUAUUUUGAUGCAUUUGAAUUAUAUAAGCCAUAUCCAUUGUUCCUCGGAGAUGUCAAAGUAUAUGUUUAAUUCCAUUCCAAUGACCUCGAGUUGAAAAAAAAACUAUAUCUUUCUAAUAAAUUUAUAGUAAUUGAUAUAUCAAGUCAUGUAUUGCUAGCAAGAUACAUUAAUGCUCCAAUUUCAAUAAGAGAUGGUACUUCAGGACCAUGAAGUUCUUUAUUAUCUUCACGAGGUCGAAAAAUGUCUUUUUUCGCAUCUCAUAACCUUACAACCAUUGGUGAACUUAAUGGAUAUGCUUUCUCCAUAUAAAAUCAUUUUAGCACUUUCGCUAUAAAAGUAGAUUAAUGGACAAAAAUUUCAUUUGUCAAGUGUUCAAUCUAAAGACUCAUACAAAACUUUGUUUUUUCAAGGUCUUUCGUCUCAAAUUCUUUCUUUAAAUAAUCCACGACUUUUGAUAACUCUUUAAGAGUUUCAAUAAUGUUUAGAUCAUCAACAAAAACAACAAUUAUCACAAAUUCAGAUUUGAAUCUUUUUAUAAAAACAUAUGGGCAUAUUGGAUCAUUUUAUAGCCUUCUUUCGACAAAUAUUCACUAAGGCGAUUAUACCACAUGUGUCUGGAUUGCUUUAAUCUAUAAAGAUUUAUUUAAUUUGAUCAAAUAAAUCUCCCGAGAUUUCAAAUUUUGUGCUUCAAGUAACUUAAAUCCUUCAGGGAUUUUCAUAUAGAUAUCAUUAUCAAGUGAGCUGUAUAAAUAGGCUGUAGCUACAUCCAUCAAACGCAUUUCAAGCUCUUCAUGUAUUAUCAGACUAAUUUAAUAUCGAAAUGUAAUUGCAUCCACCACAGAAGAAUAUGUCUCUUCAUAAUCAAUACCAGGCUUUUGGGUAAAACCUUGUGCGACAAGUCGUACUUUAUAUCUCACAAUCUCAUCUUUCUCAUUUCGUUUUCGCACAAAUACCCAUUUAUAUUCCACUGAUUCUACUCCAUUUGGCGUACGGACUACAGGUUCCAAAAACUUCACGUUUUGCAAGUGAAUUUAAUUCCACUUUGAUUGUGUCUUUCCACAUUGACCAAUGAUUUAUAUGUCUACAUUUUUCAAUAAAUAUAAGUUUAAGAUCCUCGUUUUUCUUUCAUAAUAUUGAGCUCUAUACAAAAUAUCGUUGACGUUUAUUUACCAGUUCUAUUUUUUUCCAUAAUGACAUAAUUGAUUGAGAUCUCUUCAUUUUCAAUGAUUUCAGGUACUUGAAUUUCUUCUGAAAUUUUUUUCAAUUAUGUCAAAGGUCUCUUCUAGAGUUUUUACUUCCUUUUUCUGAUCAUCUUAAAUAUUUGCUCCUUUUCUUUUUCGAAGAUUUUAUCUUUGGAAUCGAUUGAUUUUCACGCUUCUGGCGUGUCUUGUCCUAUAGGGACAUCAAUGCUAAUAGGAGCAUUCGCAACUGGUAUAUAAGAUGUAGUUAUUCCCUUUAGGUCAGUAAAUACGUCUCGCAACUGAUUUACUAUAUUUUGCAAAGUAAUUAUCUUUUGAACUUUAAGUUCAUAUUGCUUUGUGCGAGGAUCAAAACUAGAUAAUGAUAAUAUAUUCUAAGAUAUUUCCUUUUCCAACUGCUUAUUUUCUCCCUCUAAUGUUGGAAAAAUUGUUUAAUCAAAAUGACAAUCAACAAACCUUGCAGUGAAUAAAUCUCCUGUUGAGGGUUCUAGAUAUUUAAUUAUAGAUGGAGAUUCAUAUCCAACAUAUAUUUCUAACCUCUUUUAAGGACCCAUCUUUGUGCAUUGUGGUGGAGCAAUUGAAACAUAUACCGCACAUCCAAAGAAUUCUUAGAUGAAAAAUAUUUGGUUCCUAACCAUAAACCAAUUGUAUAGGGAGAAUUUAUAAUAACUCGUUUGGCUUGAUGCAUAUAAAUGCUGUUGCAUCCAAAAUGGCAUGCCCCCAAGUCAACAUUGAGAGUUUGAAUUUCAUAAUUAAUGGCCUUACAAUCAUUUGGAAGUGUCUAAUAAAUAAUUCUGUUAGACCAUUUUGUGUAUAAGUAUAAGCAACAGGCUGUUCAAUAGUUAUUCCAACUAAUAUGCAAUAUUAAAGGCUUGAGAUGUAAAUCCACCAGCAUUAUCAAGAUAGAUAAUCUUGAUUACAUAACUAGUAAAAUGUGCUAGCAAACGAAUAGUUGCAAAUGCCAAAUUGCAAGUUGAUAAUAAACACACAUAUGACUAUCUAGUCGAUGCAUCGAUUAAAACUGUAAAAUAUCUAAAUGGUCCACAUGGUGGAUAUAUGAAUCCACAUAUAACCUUGAACAUUAUUCAAAAAUGUAGAAAAUUAAAUCCCAACUUUAGCCGAUGAUAGCCUUAUAAUUUAUUUGCCUUCAAAGCAAGCAGCACAUAAAAUUUAUUAGAUUGAAAAAAAUCUUAUGAUUUUUCAAUGAAUGAUCAUAUAAAUUUUCAAUCAUUUUCUUUUGCCUCAUUAUUGAUCCGAGAUGGUCCAACCGGUCAUGCCAAACAUCAAAAUCAUUAGUAAACUUCUGGUUUACUAUGAGUUUCAAUUAUUCUAAUAUUUGUAUAGUUUAAUUCUGAGAACAAAGCGAGUAAUUUUUUUCAACACACACUUUCUACUUGAGAUAAUUGCAAUAUAGAAGUAUUAAGUGUCUCAUUCAUUCGUUGUCUCAAUAUGAUAUCUAUUUAAGCAAAUAUCUUAAUAAACUUCUUGGAGACUUAAUAGAAAAUAAUACAUCCUUUAUUACUUUAUUCCUCCAGGUAUUAAAAUAUUAGCUCUUCUAGAGCCUUCAAUUAAUUUUGUACUAUCAGAUAUUAAAUUAACAUUGAUUUUUUUUUGUCAAGUAGGAAAAAAAAUUUCUUAUCUUUAAAUAUAGUGUAUGUUAUAGCAAUGUUUGCUUGACAUAUAUUUACAUCAUAGAUCUUGGAUCCAACAAUAUGAAUAUCCAUAAAUAUAUACAAUAAGAAACUUACAAGUUAACAUAAAAAAAUAUUAAAUAUAGAAUUAAAAUAUAUAAUAAGAACAUAUCAUUUAAACAUAGUAAAACAUUUUCAUAAUAUAGUUAUACUAAAUAUACCAAUUACUAUUAAGUUCAUUCUCAGAUAUUUCUAUUACCAAUCGAAUGAUCAAUUCAUUUUUCAAGACAAGAAAAUCAAUAAUAGAUAUUUUAUUACCAAUCAUGUAAUCAAUUCUUCUUUCAAGAUAGACAAAUAUCUUGACGUGCUAUAUCAACUUGACCAUGAUUAAAAUCAUCACAAGAUGUUAUAGUUUUCGGUGAUGCUUAAUACAAUUCAAGAUGUACAAUAGGUACGUAACUAAUGGUCUUUCAUGCCACAUCAAUGACAAUAUGUUUUUUAUAUUCCUCUUUUUUUUUCUAUUUUUGUAUUUUCAUUAUUCAUCCACUUCUGGUAGGUUAAAAAUAUUCCUCCACUUCUGGUGGGUUGAAAUUAUCCAUCCACAUCUGGUGGGUUGAAAUUAUCCAUCCACUUCUGGUGGGUUGAAAUUAUCCAUCCACUUCUGUUGGCAAAAUUAUCCAUUCACUUCUGAUGGUAAAAUUAUUCUUAGAUUCUGAUGGUAAAAUUAUUAUCUACUUCUUCCAUAUCCAUGAUCAUAAUUAUUAAAUGAUGUGGCAUUCACUUCAGGGAAUAGAUGGAUUCAUGACCAUGACCAUAAUUAUUAAAUGAUAUCGCAUUCACUUCAGAGAAUGGAUAAAUUUAUAAUUUUUUUUAUUAGUAGCUCGUUUGUCAUUUUCACUUCAGGGAAUGGACAUUAUGAUUUUUCAUUAAUAGCUAUAUAAUAGCAAAUUCACUUUCCAAUCAAAGGACAUAAUUUAAUAUAUACUAUAUGAUAGUAAAAUUUAUAUUAAAGUUGAUUUUUAGAGAAUGAAAAUAUUAAAGAGAUAUUAAGUCACUUACUUGAUUUAUUACAACCAAAACAAUUAAAAAUCAACCAUUGAAAUUCUUUCAAAGGUUGGAGAUGAUGAAAACAAAAUAAUAGUAGCACUUACUUGAUUUGCUAAAACUAUAAAUCAAAACUGAAUCGUUGAAAUCCUUUUGAAGCUUAAAGAUGAUGCAAACAAAAUAAUUUCAAAACUUGAGAGAUCAGAGAAUCGUGCUGAUAACGUGUUAUGAAACAAAUCUUAAAAGAACAAAUAAAGAUAACUUGAAAAAAUAAUUAAAAAGAAGAAAGAAAGUGUUUAGGGGGAGAAAAGAGAUCUUAUUGAAUUGUAUAUUUACAAAUGAAGUGAAUGGAUCUAUUUAUAAGCUAACAACCCCUUGAAUCAUAGUCAUAAUCUAAUUCUAUCUAAGAGUUCAAAUCAUAUUACAUUUCUUGUAUCUUGCUUUUUAGAUUGUUCGACUUGGUCUGCACUUCUUGAGUCAUAAUAUAAUGGACAUUCACAUAUUUAUUCAUAACAUAAAAAAAAUUCUUGAUUAUUUUUCUGUAACUGAAAUGGAUAAUAUGUUAAAAAUGUAAAAGGAAUAAAAUCGAAAAUGGUGGGUAAUAAAAGGACCGUUGUUACGGGUAUGUAAUGCAUUGGUGGGAUUUUGUUGCUUAGUGUGGUUUGCAUUGUACAGGAUUAAUUCCACAUCUUCUAGAUUUUUAGGCAUCUAGAUUCUACAAGGUAAAAACCUGAUAAAAAAACACGUGCAUGCUUAAGCCUAAGGUUGAGUGUUGAAAAUAAAAUUGAUAAAACCUGAUAAAUUGCUUAAGUUUUUUAUUUUGUUUGUUUUUUGUUGUUGGAUCAUAUAUAGAUGUCAACUUCUUUGUUUUUAUUAAUGGAUUGUCCUGCAUUUAGUGACAGAAAGAUAGAAAAAGAAUAAAGAUCACGUGAUAAAAUUGCUGAGGAUAUAUCCAUUAAUGAUUGUUAGUGAAUGGAGUCAUGAAAUCUUUGCCAAGUUUAGAUAAACAGAUGGAAUAAACAAGACUGCUAAGGUAUCGUGGUAAAACUUGAGAAGAUUAAUGUAAGGUCAACAACAAAAACAAUGUUAGAUGAAGUUAUAUAUUUCAAGAUCCCGAAUCUAAUAUGGUGGCAAAUUCUUGAAGAACAGAUACGCUGCAUUCAAUUUUGAGGGUGUAUCAUUUAUAUAUAUAUAUAUAUGAAAAAUGGUAUAAAAAUUCUGUUUAUAACAAAGCCAAUUCUACAAGACUUUGACAUCUCUUGAACAGCAGUGCAAUAGCGCGGCCUUUAUGGAAAACCAAGAGAAAAGAAUAUAAAUACACAAUGUGAAAAUGAAAAAAAUCUAUAUAUGAAGCAAAAAGAAAGCUGUAUCACCUUUUGUUUUCCCGAUACCUCGACUAUACUUACAUUUUGGUUUUCUAACGUUUAGGUAUAAUCUAAAACUGACAUGCAAGCUGGUUAUCUCCUUUAGAAGUUGAGGAACUUGAUACCAUAGGCAAAUACAAAGAAGAAGAGGAGACAUCAGCCAAUAUGCGCAGCGGCAAUAAUUGGAAGGAAGUCAUAUUCAAAGCCUAAGGUGCCUUUAAGGAAGUCCUUGACUGAUAUAUCACCUUGUCCAGGGACCUCAACAAGAGCAUUCUUGUCGCCCACUUGAGAAGUCACAAGCCCAUAUAGUGUCCAAGCCACGGGAGAAGCCCAAUAGUACCACCUCUACCAAACAGGGAUUUGCUGCAAUGGGUGAAUAAAGCAAAUUUUUUUUUCUUAAAAAAAUUCUCAAGGGGAUUAGAUUAGCCAAAUAACUAGGUAAUUAGAAAGAGUAGUUAAACUUUGAGAUAACUUACCAUCCUAGGAAUGAGAAAACUAGAGAACAAGUUCCAAAAAACAUGAAGAAUGUUGAAGAAUGUUGAUAUAAAAAUGAUUCAUUAAUGUGGAAAGAUGUAAUUAAAGUAGAAUUGAAUUCACUUCCAAAACAUGAAGUCUUUGAACCUAUAGUCUGUACACCAAAAGGUGUAAACUUAAUGGGAUAUAAUUGAGUAUUUGUGCUAAAACGAAAUGAAAAAAAAUGAAAUUGUAAGAUAUAAAACACAGCUUGUCACACAAAGUUUUACCCAAAAACCUAGUAAUGAUUAUGAAGAGACAUAUUCUCCUGUGGUAGAUGUAAUUACAUUUUGAUAUUUAAUUAGUCUGACAAUAUAUGAGAAGCUUAAAAUGCAUUUGAUGGAUGUAGUUAUAGCCUAUUUAUAUGGCUCACUUGAUAACGAUAUUUAUAUGAAAAUCCCUAAAGGAUUUAAGUUGCUUGAAGCUCAAAAUUUGAAUUCUCGAAAAAUUUAUUCAAUUAAAUUAAAUAAAUCUUUCUAUGGAUUAAAAAAUUCUGACACAUGUGAUAGAAUCGUCUUAGUUAAUAUUUGUUGAAAGAAGGCUAUAAAAAUGAUUCUAUAUGUCUAUGUGAUUUUAUAAAAAGAUUCAAAUAUGAAUUUGUGAUAAUUGCUAUUUAUGUUGAUGACCUAAAUAUUAUUGAAACUCUUGAAAAGUUAUCAAAAAUCGUGAAUUAUUUAAAGAAAUAACUUAAGAUGAAAAACUUUGAAAAGACAAGGUUUUGUUUGGGUCUUCAAAUUGAAUACUUGACAAAUAGAAUUUUUGUCAAGAACGAUUUUUAACAAAUUAUAUAGCAAACGUACUAAAACGAUUUUAUAUAGACAAAACGCAUUUAUUGAGUUCACCAAUGGUUGUAAGGUCAUUAGAUGUGAAAAAAGACCCUUUCGACCUCGUGAAAAUGAUAAAGAACUUCUCGAUCUUGAAGUACUAUAUUUUAAUGCAAUUGGAAUACUAAUGUAUCUUACUAGUAAUACACGACCUAAUAUAUCAUUUGUUGUAAAUUUAUAAGCAAUGUAUAGUUCUUCUUCAAUAUGAAGAUAUUAGAAUGGAAUUAAACAUAUACUUCAAUAUCUCCAAGGAGUAAAGGACAUUGGCUUAUAUUCUCAACUGUAUCAAAAUCAAAUUUAAUUGGUUAUGCAGAUGUAAAAUAUUUAUCUGAUUUACACAAAACUCAAUCUAAGAUAAGUUACUUAUUCACAUAUGGAGGUAUGGCUAUUUCAUGACAUUUUGUAAAACAAACUAUAAUUGCUACUUCUUUUAACUAUGCAAAAAUUUUACCAAUUCAUGAGGCAAGUCGUGAUCAUGUCUGGUUAAAAUCUGUAACUCAACAUAUUCAAGAAAUGUGUGGCUUGUCAAUCAAGAAGAAAAUUCCAACAGCAUUAUAUGAGAAUAAUAUUGCUUGCAUAGCACAGUUAAAGGAAUGAUACAUUACAGGUGAUAAAACAAAACAUAUUUUGUCAAAAUUCUUCUUCACUCCCAAUCUAAAAAAAAAACAUAAUAUUAGUAUUUAACAAAUUCAGUCAAGUGACAAUCUAGCAUAUUUAUUCAUUAAAGCCCUUUCUACUGCAACAUUUAAAGAGUUAGUACAAAAAAUUAGAACGCGCCAUUUUAAAGAUCUUAAAUAAUACAGUCAUAAGGAAAGUAAAACACGUAUUAUACUUUUUUUCUUUAUCAAGGUUUUUCCCAUCGGGUUUUUCUUGAUUAGGUUUUUAAUGAGGUAAUAUUUCAAAAGUGUAUUUUUGAAAAGAAUUAUGUACUUUUUUUCCUUUACACAGAUUUUUUCCCAUAAAGUUUUUUCCUAGUAAAGUUUUAACGAAGCAUAUUCUUGCUAUAAUGGAUAUUCAAGGGAGAGUGUUAUAAAUAUAUGUGUAAAUAUUCAUUUUGUUAUGUAUAUCUAAAUUUGAAUAUAGAUUAGAUUGGAUUAAGAUUAGGAUUUAAUUCAUUUAUCUAAUCUCUUAGUAUUAUAUUUAUUUUGUAAAUUCUAUCUAGUAAGGGGUUAUUAGUCUAUAAAUAGACUCCUUAUUUCAUUUGUAAAUACACACUUGAAUAAGAUCUUCUUACUUCCUUUAAAUAUAUUCUUUAUAAUUAUUCUCUUUCUUUUGUAGUUGUUUUUUCAGUUUACAUUUCAUAACACUUUUCCUAUUUUUAGUAUUUAUUUUACCAACAUCUAUAAAUUAUGUUGGUGUGAUAAAUAAAAUUUCAAAAUGGUCUAUCAUUUAAAAUAGAAAACAAAAAAUCAAAGUGAUGUGGACACUUUAAUGAGCUCGGCAAGAGCUCAUGCUAUUGGUGGGAGAAAGAAUAAGGGUCGGGCUACCUCGUUUCCUUUCUCGUCAAGGACUCUUGGAUAUUGUCUGGCAAUCAAAAUUGUAAUUUUGACAAUUUAACAGUAAUAACAAAAGAAUUUACAAUUAUUUUUCGUAAAAUAGAGUAUUUAUGUAUUUUGAUAUAAUAUUUAAAAAAUUAUUAAAUUAUUUUAAAAAAUUAAAAUAAAUUUUUAUUUUUUAUUACGUUCAAUUAAGUCUUUAUAUUUUAUUUUGAGUCAAGUCAGUUGUUAUAAUUAACGAUUAACUUAAUUAAAAUAUCAUUUGUCAUUCUAUGUCACGUGUUGUUAAUGUGACAUAAUAACACAUCAUAAUAAAUGGUGAUAUGAUAUGUUAAUGUAGCAUAAUUGUANNNNNNNNNNNNNNNNNNNNNNNNNNNNNNNNNNNNNNNNNNNNNNNNNNNNNNNNNNNNNNNNNNNNNNNNNNNNNNNNNNNNNNNNNNNNNNNNNNNNNNNNNNNNNNNNNNNNNNNNNNNNNNNNNNNNNNNNNNNNNNNNNNNNNNNNNNNNNNNNNNNNNNNNNNNNNNNNNNNNNNNNNNNNNNNNNNNNNNNNNNNNNNNNNNNNNNNNNNNNNNNNNNNNNNNNNNNNNNNNNNNNNNNNNNNNNNNNNNNNNNNNNNNNNNNNNNNNNNNNNNNNNNNNNNNNNNNNNNNNNNNNNNNNNNNNNNNNNNNNNNNNNNNNNNNNNNNNNNNNNNNNNNNNNNNNNNNNNNNNNNNNNNNNNNNNNNNNNNNNNNNNNNNNNNNNNNNNNNNNNNNNNNNNNNNNNNNNNNNNNNNNNNNNNNNNNNNNNNNNNNNNNNNNNNNNNNNNNNNNNNNNNNNNNNNNNNNNNNNNNNNNNNNNNNNNNNNNNNNNNNNNNNNNNNNNNNNNNNNNNNNNNNNNNNNNNNNNNNNNNNNNNNNNNNNNNNNNNNNNNNNNNNNNNNNNNNNNNNNNNNNNNNNNNNNNNNNNNNNNNNNNNNNNNNNNNNNNNNNNNNNNNNNNNNNNNNNNNNNNNNNNNNNNNNNNNNNNNNNNNNNNNNNNNNNNNNNNNNNNNNNNNNNNNNNNNNNNNNNNNNNNNNNNNNNNNNNNNNNNNNNNNNNNNNNNNNNNNNNNNNNNNNNNNNNNNNNNNNNNNNNNNNNNNNNNNNNNNNNNNNNNNNNNNNNNNNNNNNNNNNNNNNNNNNNNNNNNNNNNNNNNNNNNNNNNNNNNNNNNNNNNNNNNNNNNNNNNNNNNNNNNNNNNNNNNNNNNNNNNNNNNNNNNNNNNNNNNNNNNNNNNNNNNNNNNNNNNNNNNNNNNNNNNNNNNNNNNNNNNNNNNNNNNNNNNNNNNNNNNNNNNNNNNNNNNNNNNNNNNNNNNNNNNNNNNNNNNNNNNNNNNNNNNNNNNNNNNNNNNNNNNNNNNNNNNNNNNNNNNNNNNNNNNNNNNNNNNNNNNNNNNNNNNNNNNNNNNNNNNNNNNNNNNNNNNNNNNNNNNNNNNNNNNNNNUUAGUCAACUAUUAGUUAAUAAAUAUUUAUUUAAUUUUUAUUUGAUUAAAAUAAAAAUGUAUGAACUUGAUUGAAUAUAAUAAAAAAAUAAAUGCUUAUUUGAAUUUUUGAAAAUAGUUUAGAGAUUUUUAUGAAUAUUAUGCCAUGUAUUUUUUAUUUUUAUUAAAUCAAGGUUAAAUAUAGAAUUAGAAAUAUAAAAAUCAGAAAAAAAAUUUCAAUUUUAGUUUUUUUCCUAUAUCACAAAAAAAGUUUUUUUUUUAAUAAUUGGGAAAAAGAAGAUUUGAACCUUGCUCUUUAAGUAGGGGGUUUUUCUUUUGAUUGAUAUUACUAAUUAAAUAAAAAAAUCUCAUUUUAUCUCUAGGAAUUGUAACUUACUAAAGGAGAAAAUUUAGUGAAAAUGUAAAUGUCCUUAUCCAAAUGAUAUUUUUCUUAUGAUGGUAUUAAAGAAAAUAAAAUAAGAAAAGAAAAGAAAGAUUGUGGUAGAGGAAAUGCCCACUUUGGCCGUCUAACACCAGCCAUAUGAAGUGUCCUUAAUUAUUUUCUCUUAUUAAGAGGUGAAAAAUCAAAAAACAAGAUAUUGUUUAUUAAUUUUUUUAGAUAAAAUAUUUUUAAUUUGUUAAAUUUUAAUCGAAAUUUUAAAUGGGUACAUUAAUUUUGAAAUGAACACUUCCUCCAAAAAUAACAUAUUUUACUGGAUACAUAGAUCCAGCCGUUACUCAACCGUUAAUAUUUUCGUUAGUUUGAUGACUUGAUAAUAUUGAAAUGAUAAUUUUAUUACUUUUUAUUAAUUUUAAAAAUUACUAUAUAUUUUUUAUUAAUUAAAAAAAGGGUCUUCCUUCUCUUUGAGAGCUGGGGAGCACAGAUCGAUACUCUCUAUAUUUUUAUUUUUAUUUAAAAAAUAAAAUUAAUUAAAAAAAUAGGUAUUUUAGUUUUUUAAUUAUCUCUGUUAAUGGUGUUUAUAGUUUUAAAAUGAAGUGUUUAUUUCAAAAACUAAUAGAUUUAUUUAAAAUUUUAAUUAGAACUUAAGAGUAAGAGGAUAUUUUACUUAUUUUUUUAUUUUAUUUCAACCAAAACAUAUAACCGAAAAGAAAAUACUUAUAUAUAUAUAAAAGCUUAUUAAUAGGAAUUCUGCAAUUUGAACGGGGCGAGGGCAAAGCCUGGGCCUGGAGCUGAAAAAGCCUGCUCCCUGGAUAUGCCUCAACUUUACCUGCAAACCCACCCAAAAAAAAAAAAAAGAAAAGCAAAACAUCUUUCUUUCUAGUUGACCAAAUUUUGACGAAUUUCUCUUGUGCCCAACUUAUUUGCUCGCUGCAGAGAAAUUCGCUCAGCUCUGGUAGUUUAAUAACGUUUUUGUGUCUUCAUUUGUUUAUUAAAUAAAUGAAGCAUAUGAAUAUGUUGAUUUAUUUAUAUGCUUUUUUUUGGAUGAGAAUUCAUAGAAAUUAGAUAUUCAUGGUGCGGAAAUUUCCAGUUGCUGCGUCAAUACUGGCCUUUGUCGGAUUAAUGCUAUGAUUUUAAUGUAAAUGUGAUUUUGGUGCCAAAUAUAAAGUAUAAACUAUAUCAAAGUUGCCAGAACGUCUCUUCAUUUGUUAAUUUUUUUUCCAAAAGAAGAAUUUGAUUAGGCCUAUUCUGUAUUGAAAUUUUAGCUUUUUUUUUUUUUUUUAAGCAAUGAUGUUGAUUCUUUGUAAAAUUAUUGUUACAGAGUUGUAUAAAGAAGAAAACAAUUCCCUAAGUUUCCUUUUAAAAGUAGAAACGUCGAUAUGGCUGCGUCAGAGGAGAACAGUGCAUUGUUCCCAAUCUUCGUGUUGACUAUAAUGGCUCUGCCAUUGGUACCAUACACUCUAGUUAAGAUAUUAAAUGCAUUCUCGAAGAAAACGAUGACUAUCCACUGCCAGUGUUCUGUAUGUUCUCGUUCUGGGAAGUAUAGGAAAUCUAUUUUCAAACGGGUAAAUUUGCUUCCUAUAUGGUUUUAUUCAUUGUUAGGAAUGGUAUGUUUGACUGACAACGCUCUGUAUGUUUUUGAUCCUUUGGUUUACUUUUGCAGAUCUCAAACUUCUCAACAUGUAGAAAUUUGACCCUUGUGCUUCUUUGGAUUAUCAUGGUGAUGCUGAUAUAUUAUAUCAAGCAUACAAGCCAUGAGGUACUCCAUCUUUUAUUAAUAUCUGAUGAUCACAUGAUUUAAUCUCAUAGUCAGCUGCUACCUCAUCUGUUAUAGGAUGGAAUUAUGGGUUUUAGGUGAAGACUUUAACUGUCAUGUGUGGACUUAGGAAAUUUAGGCUUGCUUUCUUCCAUAACUGAUUUUGCAAACAUGGAAUGAAUGGUCAUAUAUUAAUAUCUUCGUGAUCAUGUAUUAAUAUAUUAAUGCAAGCAACCUUUAUUUUUAUCAGUUUGUUUCUUUCAUCAACAUUGUAUACUCUGUGUGGUGUGCCCUGGGUGUUUCUCAUGAUAGUACAUAAUUCAUCUCUUUUUUCGUUGCUUCUCAGAUUAAAGUGUUUGAGCCAUUUAGGAUUCUUGGUUUAGAACCUGGAGCAUCAGAUUUAGACAUAAAGAAAGCCUAUAGGAGACUUUCAAUACAGUAUCAUCCUGAUAAAAAUCCAGAUCCAGGUUAUAGAUUUUAUUUGUUGUUCCCAUAUAUGGUUUUGGCAGCAUUUUGAUUUUCUUUUUGAAGACCUAAUACCUAUCCACCUUUUCUCCUCCCCUUUCUUCUCAAAGGCACACAAUUAUUUUGUUGAAUACAUUUCGAAGGCCUAUCAAGCCCUGACAGAUUCAGUCUCUCGGGAAAAUUUUGAAAAGUAUGGUCACUCAGAUGCCAGGCAGGUAAUAAAAUUCUUUGGAUUUGUCUUUAAUUGCAGCAGAAUAGCAGUUUCACAUUUGAGAGAGUUUGGUUCCGAUUUAUUGUCCUAUUUUCACUGGUUUCAUAAUUUAGGGUCUUCAAAUGGGUAUAGCCCUACCUCCAUUUCUGCUGAAUAUUGAUGGAGCGUCAGGUGGAAUACUUCUGCUGGGAAUAGUUGGAGUGUGCAUUCUUCUGCCCUUGGUGUUAACUGUUAUAUAUCUCUCAAGAUCAGCCAAAUAUACUGGAAAUUAUGUGAUGCAUCAAACAUUGUCUGCCUACUGCUACUUCAUGAAACCUUCUUUAGCUCCGAGGUACAAAGUUCCUCCUUGUUGAUUUGCUACCUAAUGUUUACUGUGAAAGACCUAUAAAAAGGUCAUUAUUGUUUUGUGUUUAUAAAUAUAUGGAGAUCUUGGACUGACAUUCUUUCAGUAAUGGCUAGAAAUUUUCCCACCAGCAAACAAUUCAACUAGGUGAAUGACUGGGUCAUUUCAUCUGAUUCCUUGUUGCAUUGGCUUGACAUGGUAGAGACUUGAAGUCAGAUAGUUGAACUAAAAGCUAUCAUAAAUUAUACUCCUGUUGACCAUGUUCAAUAAGGUUUCAUUUUGGUUUUCUCUAAUAGUAGUCUAUUUUUGCAGCAAGGUCUUGGAUGUCUUCAUAAAAGCUGCAGAAUUCAUGGAAAUCCCGGUUCGGCAAAGUGAUGGGGAACCCCUUCUGAAAUUAUUCAUGUUGGUCAGGAGCGAGCUGAACUUGGACCUUAAGAAUAUUCGUCAAGAACAAGCUAAAUUUUGGAAGCAGCACCCAGCUUUUGUAAAGGUGGCUCAUUUGCAGCCAUGCCUUUCUAUAUGUCUUUCACUAUCUUGUUACUCAAACACCCUGAAGUUUGGGCUUAUGAUUCUUGCUGCUUUACAUUACUUACCUUUCUACUUUUCAGGCAGAAUUAUUGAUCCAAGCCCGGUUGACUCGUGAGUCUGCAGCUUUGCCUUCAGCUUUGUUGCGUGAUUUUAGACGCAUGCUUGGGCUUUCACCCCGCCUUCUUGAGGAACUAAUGAAGGUGAAUUUAUCAGCUCUUCUAGAACAAUAAUGGAUUUGUUACACACGUUUUUUGAAAAUUGUCACUUUUGCACAUGCAUCCAGAUUUGAACAUAUUGAUAAAAAUAGCUCUGUAUUUUUAUUGUUUCUCACAAGAUCAUUGACAUUAUUCUUAUAAAUUUUUGGAAUUGUUAGGCAUCUAAGUGUUUUGAAGAAUUGUCUAAGAAAUCAAGUGCAUUUACUAUCUUCAUCUUCUUCAAUAAAGAAGUGAAAAAGAACAAGUUGUUCCCAAUUUAUUGCAACUCCUCAUCCUAAUCAUAAUCUUUUAAAUAAUUGAAAUUCCUAGACUGCAAAGCCAUAAUGCUCUGUAGCUGGCACUGGUGUGUGUGAUGUGUGAGUGUGUUUACUAGGUCCUCAGCUAUCUUAUUCUACUUUUCUGAACAAAAGAAUGCUUGCAAGUAAUAAUAUUCUGCAUUCUUUGGAAGUUUUAUCAGUCAGUAUGUUAUUUAUGAAUACAGAUGGCAUUAAUACCACUCACUGCUCGAGGGCAUGGAUGGUUGAGACCUGCAAUUGGUGUGGUUGAGCUUUCUCAGAAUAUCAUUCAGGUGUGUUUUUAUGCUCCUUGUUUGGAAUCUAUUCUGUUGUCUGGAAAUUUGGGGCUUUCCUUGUGUAUGACUUUGCUGAACACUUUCGGUGCCAAUAUUAUGUUUAGUUACCUCUAUCCAUGUAGUCAUUUGCAACAUAUCAAAGAGAAAACUGUUAAUUACAAGGUAUGCCUACGCAGCAUAAAUAUUAGAUGGUUUGCUGCAUAUUCUUAGCAUUCAGGUGAGUAUAUAUAUAAUUUUUUUCUGAAAGGAUCAGUUUCCUAAACCGACACAAAAUAGGCUUUGUUGAUGAGAAUUAGCAAGCUGUGUAGCCUACUAGAGAUUGAAGUGGAAUAUUACUUUUUGGUUUGCACUACCAUCAUAUCAGUUGCCAAUGUGUUUGUCUGUGGCACCUUUGAUAAUCCUUGCUUUUUUCCUUUUUCUUUUUAUUCCUAUUGCAUUUGACCUAUAAAUGUCAAAGUUUUCUUACCUGCUGUUUUACUGACAAUUUUGUACCAAAUCUCUAUUCAUAAACUUUCUCUUCUAAUAAUUCUAUAGGUUGGGCAUUCACUGCCAUUUGUUCUAGUACUGUUUUUUUUUUUUUUUUGCUGCAUAAGCUCAUUCUCUUUUCUUUUCUCUACCAAGUGAUUAAAUUUAUUUAUUCAUUGAACCAGGCAGUUCCGCUAAGUGCUAGAAAGAUUGUUGGGGGAUCGAGUGAAGGUAUUGCACCCUUUCUACAGCUGCCUCACUUUAAUGAGGCCAUGGUAAAAAAGAUAGCAAGGAAGGUAACACAUUGCUUAUUUUAUUGGUUUUUGUACUGCACUAAAGAGUCUUGAUACUUCUGCAGUAAUUCUAUGAUGCCACCUGUAAUAGCCUUCUUUUCGGGUUUUAUUGCUUUGGUGCUUGGUUAUUAUUCUGCAUCUCAAGUCACACUGUAUGUCAACCAUUUGGUCAUGUUUUUUGGAUUAAGUUAUUUGUGGAGGAGGAAGAAAAACACUGGUUCAUUAGCAAAAGCCUAAGAGACUUCAGGUUGAAAUUUUCACACUGAUGGCCAUGGUUCAAUUGUCUUAGAAAGGUGGUGAAAAUGCUACAUUCUUACUUGUACGGAUUGGUAAAUGCUCUAUAAAACAAGAUGUUGCCUUGAUGUUGUGAUGUAACAUGCCUGAAUCAUGACAUGGCAUUGUUGAACAUUUUGCAUCUGUUUCCUAUUAUUCUUUAGUUUGAAGAAUCUCUUUCAUUAUGACUGCAGAAAAUGCGAACUUUUCAAGAUUUCUGCGGCAUGACCUUAGAAGAUCGAGUUGAGCUGCUGACUAAGGUUGCAGGGUUAUCUACUGGUGAAACCAAAGAUGUGGAGAUGGUUCUUGAAAUGAUGCCUUCCUUGACAAUGGAUGUCACGUGUGAGACAGAAGGUGAAGAGGGGAUACAAGAGGGUGAUAUUGUCAUGAUGCAUGCUUGGAUCACGCUCAAGCGUGGGAGCGGUCUUGUUGCUUCUCUUUCUCAUGCUCCUUACUUCCCUUUCCACAAGGAGGAGAACUUCUGGCUACUGGUUGCUGACUCUGUCUCCAAUGAUGUUUGGAUCUCCCAAAAGGUUAGCUUCAUGGAUGAGGCUGUGGCCAUAACAGCAGCAUCUAAAGCAAUUCAAGAGUUGAAGGAAGGUUCAGGGGCAAGUCUGAAGGCGACAAAUGCAGCUGUUAGAGAAGCCGUUGAGAAAGUAAGGAGUGGGUCAAGGUUAGUGAUGUGCAAAUUUCAGGCUCCUGCUGAGGCAAAUUACAAUUUGACUGCAUUCUGCUUGUGUGACUCUUGGAUUGGUUGUGAUAAGAAGACAAACUUAAAGAUGAAAUAAUGAAACGGAGUCGAGCAGGUACAAGGACAGGUCCCUUGUCAGAAGAGGGAGCGGUCAUGGAAGAGGGGAUUGGGGAGGAAGAAGAUGGAUAUGAUGAUUAUGAGAGUGAAUACAGUGACGAUGAAGAGGAUGAACAAGAUUCUAAGAGGGAUGGAGCUUUGGCCAAUGGUGCUGUUGAUAAUAAAGGAAAUGGAUCAAGCUCUGAAAGUUCCGACAAUGAGUGAAAAACCUUUUAUUUUUGGUUUUUCCUUUUUAGGAAUACAGGGGGAGGUGAUGGAUCCCAUUCAUUUCUUUUAUAUUGUAACAUUUGAUUAUAGGGUAUACCAAUCCACAUGUUGAUAUGAACUUAAAUGCCGUAAUGCUUGUCUCAUAGAAUCCUUAAAACCAUUAACUGUAUCUGUUGAUUAACUUCCGUUAAUGCAUUCAGUUUUCCUGUUUCAAAACCAAGACGUUUCACAAGUUNGAGGGUGAUAUUGUCAUGAUGCAUGCUUGGAUCACGCUCAAGCGUGGGAGCGGUCUUGUUGCUUCUCUUUCUCAUGCUCCUUACUUCCCUUUCCACAAGGAGGAGAACUUCUGGCUACUGGUUGCUGACUCUGUCUCCAAUGAUGUUUGGAUCUCCCAAAAGGUUAGCUUCAUGGAUGAGGCUGUGGCCAUAACAGCAGCAUCUAAAGCAAUUCAAGAGUUGAAGGAAGGUUCAGGGGCAAGUCUGAAGGCGACAAAUGCAGCUGUUAGAGAAGCCGUUGAGAAAGUAAGGAGUGGGUCAAGGUUAGUGAUGUGCAAAUUUCAGGCUCCUGCUGAGGCAAAUUACAAUUUGACUGCAUUCUGCUUGUGUGACUCUUGGAUUGGUUGUGAUAAGAAGACAAACUUAAAGAUGAAAUAAUGAAACGGAGUCGAGCAGGUACAAGGACAGGUCCCUUGUCAGAAGAGGGAGCGGUCAUGGAAGAGGGGAUUGGGGAGGAAGAAGAUGGAUAUGAUGAUUAUGAGAGUGAAUACAGUGACGAUGAAGAGGAUGAACAAGAUUCUAAGAGGGAUGGAGCUUUGGCCAAUGGUGCUGUUGAUAAUAAAGGAAAUGGAUCAAGCUCUGAAAGUUCCGACAAUGAGUGAAAAACCUUUUAUUUUUGGUUUUUCCUUUUUAGGAAUACAGGGGGAGGUGAUGGAUCCCAUUCAUUUCUUUUAUAUUGUAACAUUUGAUUAUAGGGUAUACCAAUCCACAUGUUGAUAUGAACUUAAAUGCCGUAAUGCUUGUCUCAUAGAAUCCUUAAAACCAUUAACUGUAUCUGUUGAUUAACUUCCGUUAAUGCAUUCAGUUUUCCUGUUUCAAAACCAAGACGUUUCACAAGUUCUUUCCAAAACCUACUUGAGCCAGAAGCAGAAAAUCAAGCGGAAAUGAUCAUGGAUCUGUCUCCUAUUUCUCCAAAAUUCCAACCCACAAGAACCUUCAAAUACAGAGCAUAUGCUAUAAUUAACAUAUUUGACAACUUGCAGAAGAAUCCAGUCAGGCAAUUUAAAUAUUAGUGACUGGUUUCCAAAUUAUUUAUAAUUGAGAUAUUACCAACUGGUUACAAGAAAAAUUAUAAGUGCCUCCAAAUUCACUUUUACUUCAUGUCCCAAAAACAAGGGCUUCUAUGCUUUGUUGAAUUCAGAAAGGAUAUGGGUAUACGAUGACUAUCUUUUAGAAACUUAAAGCUAAGAAAUAUUAUCUGUGUCACAAACUAUCUUCAUUGAAGGAAGCACGACUGCAGCCACCGGAUUACUCUCCAGUCCUCCACCUUCAUCAAUAACCAGCCUAAGGCCAUCGAUGUGAAGUUUCCCGUGGUGACCACUUACCACAAUUGUCUCAGUCAGCUCCUGCAAGUAUUCAACACCAAACACCUAGAUCACUCGACUUUCAUAUCAUGACAAUCAUGUUAUUAAGCCCACAAAAGCUGCAAAGUACCCCUCCUAAAAGGAAGCUACACUGGAGUUAAGAAGUUGAUCCUCAAGUCUAUCUAUCUAUACACUAAGAAAAACAAUGUCAAAGACAGAUAAGAGUUGUUUCAUAAGUAGUGAACUAUUCAUUACCUUGGGGAUAUCCCAAACAUCCUUCCUCCCGCUUAGAGCUGUUACCUUGGGCACUCGGGUGUCUCGGGCUUUCAAAAAUUCAAGCUGCUCUUGGAUUUUCCCUCUCUCUAAACCAGCAUGUACAGCAACCAAUUUACAAUGUUUAAAUCCUUCCUCGGUCUCUAUACAGACAUCAUCCUGGAGAAAUGCACAUUGAAAACACGCACUAAUUUUACCAACUUUAUUCAGUGGUCAUGCUAUAACAUUAUAACUAAUCUUCACAUUAUUGUUCCAGAAAACUAAAGAAUUGCUUCUAACUUACUUUGUACUAUUCACUGUAAAGUAUUUACCACAUUCUCAUCACACACCAGUGUUCUAAAAGCUAAGAAAAAGCAAAGAGAAGAAAGAAUACCUCUUCAUGAACCCAAACCAUAUCAGCUAGAAAUUUCUUGUGGUCUUCAGGAACUGCCUUGACCAAAUCUGUACACAACAACAAUCCUUCUUUCAAAUAAAAAUUAAGAUAUCUGAAUCAACGUUAAUUGUGAGCAGAAAAUAUCUUGUCUUAGAUUAAGUAAGAGUAACUCAAUCCAGAGGAACCCAAUUACUAUCUGUUAACUAAAAUUAUAAGAAUAAGAUCCCCAUUGAAAAGUAAACAACUAAGAUAACCCUCAACUGCAAUAAGCCAAUUGAAAAUAACAAUUAGAAAUUAUGCUAAUCAAACACAAGCACCUAAUUCAACAUACUAACUAAAAAGAGAUCAAACACAAUCAGUCCUUCAAAAACAUACAAUCUAGAACCAAACCAUGAAUGAAUCAAGAAUCCAUUUGCCACUUAAUAUUUUGACCAUACCCUCAAAACCCAAAAUCUCAAUUGAAAUUGAAUGACGAAGAAUCAAAAACAAUAAUCCAUUGAAAAAAUGAAUAUCUUAGAAUGUAAAUCUCCAUUUACCAUUGAAUUGUCCAAACGAUUACCAAAAAGCCACAAAUUGUACGUUAUCAUUUGAAAACCAAGAAUAAAGCUCUAACUAAAAAACCACCUUGAUUAAAGGCAGAGCCAUAUAUGGAAAAGCCAACUAUCCAAAAUAAUAAUAAUAAAAAAAAACCAUGCAUUACCAGCAGAUCCAUGAGAUACUCCAUAAGACUCAAACGUAGGAGCAGCAUCAUAAAUGGAACCUUUACACUCCAACCCUUUGGCAGCAUUAAACUUAGCCUUAAGCCAACCACUCCAUAUCCUCGCCUGCAAAUGCAUCUUUUCAUACCCUUCUCCCUUAUACCACCCUUCUCUUUCCUCAUUAUCCGCAUACUCUUCCCACGUGUCCUUCGCUUCAAACUCCCCCGGCAACACCCCGACAAACCCGGCGAAAGCAAAGUCAUGGUUUCCUGACAAAAAAACAUGCUUCUGAUUCGGAUAUUGCCUCGGCAAAGAGACUAAGAAAUCGAUUACUUUGCGUGUGUCGGGUCCACGGUCACAGUAGUCGCCUAGGAAGAUGAUGGUGGCGGUGUUGAAGGAUUCUGGGUCGAUCUUGGAUUGGAGGUUGGACCAGAGAUUGACAAGUUUGGUGAUGUGGCCAUGGAUGUCUCCUAUGCAGAUUACGGUUCUUGGCUUCUAGGCGGGAUCUGUCAUUUUUGGGGUUCGG